AGAGUUUGAUCCUGGCUCAGGAUGAACGCUAGCGGCGGGCUUAAUACAUGCAAGUCAAGGGGUAGCAAUACACCGGCGUACGGGUGCGUAACGCGUAUGGAACCUGCCCUUAUCUGGGGGAUAACUCGGGGAAACUCGAGCUAAUACCGCAUAAGAUAGUAGAAUGGCAUCAUUCAGCUAUUAAAGAUUUAUUGGAUAAGGAUGGCCAUGCGUAAGAUUAGAUAGUUGGCGAGGUAACGGCUCACCAAGUCUACGAUCUUUAGGGGCUCUGAGAGGAGAAUCCCCCACACUGGCACUGAGAUACGGGCCAGACUCCUACGGGAGGCAGCAGUAGGGAAUAUUGGGCAAUGGGCGGAAGCCUGACCCAGCCACGCCGCGUGCAGGAAGACGGCCCUCUGGGUUGUAAACUGCUUUUAACUGGGAAGAAAAGAGGCCUUGCGAGGCAAGUUGACGGUACCAGUUGAAUAAGCCACGGCUAACUACGUGCCAGCAGCCGCGGUAAUACGUAGGUGGCGAGCGUUAUCCGGAUUUAUUGGGUUUAAAGGGAGCGUAGGCGGCUGAUUAAGUCAGCGGUGAAAGGUAGCAGCUUAACUGUUUUACAUGCCGUUGAUACUGGUUAGCUUGAGUUGACAGAAGGCAGAUAGAAUUCCUGAUGUAGCGGUGAAAUGCUUAGAUAUCAGGAGGAAUACCGAUUGCGAAGGCAGUCUGCUGCAGUCACACUGACGCUGAGGCUCGAAGGUGCGGGGAUCAAACAGGAUUAGAUACCCUGGUAGUCCGCACAGUAAACGAUGAUUACUAGAUGUUGGCCAAGCCAGUGUCCAAGGGAAACCGAUAAGUAAUCCACCUGGGGAGUACGCCGGCAACGGUGAAACUCAAAGGAAUUGACGGGGGUCCGCACAAGCGGUGAGCAUGUGGUUUAAU
rnacentral:rRNA from 1 species